rnacentral:rRNA from 1 species
GACGAACGCUGGCGGCGUGCUUAACACAUGCAAGUCGAACGGAAAGGCCCUGCUUUUGUGGGGUGCUCGAGUGGCGAACGGGUGAGUAACACGUGAGUAACCUGCCCUUGACUUUGGGAUAACUUCAGGAAACUGGGGCUAAUACCGGAUAGGAGCUCCUGCUGCAUGGUGGGGGUUGGAAAGUUUCGGCGGUUGGGGAUGGACUCGCGGCUUAUCAGCUUGUUGGUGGGGUAGUGGCUUACCAAGGCUUUGACGGGUAGCCGGCCUGAGAGGGUGACCGGCCAAAUGGGGCUUGGGAAGCGGCCCAGACGCCUAGGGGGGGAAGAGGGGGGGAAUUUUGAAAAAGGGGCGGAAGCGUGAUGCAGAAACGCGGGGGGGGGGAUGAGGGCCUUGGGGUUGUAACCCGCUUUCGCCUGUGACGAAGGGUGGGUGACGGUAAUGGGAAAAGAAGCACCGGUUAACUACGG